rnacentral:rRNA from 1 species
CGGCCGCGGUAUCCUAACCGUGCGAAGGUAGCGUAAUCACUUGUUCUUUAAAUGUGGACUAGUAUGAACGGCAUCACGAAGGUUAUACUGUCUCCUUUUUCUAAUCAGUGAAACUAAUCUCCCCGUGAAGAAGCGGGGAUAAAAUUAUAAGACGAGAAGACCCUAUGGAGCUUUAAACAAUACAGCACUUACCUAAAAAUCUUUAAUGUUUCUGUAACACUAACUCUUUAAAGUAAAAUGACUGCAAGUUUUUGGUUGGGGUGACCACGGAGUAUAUCAUAACCUCCAUGUUGAAAGAAUUUUUCUAAGCCAAGAAUAACCAAUCUAAGCAUUAACAAAUUAACAUCUAUUGACCCAAUAAAUUUGAUCAACGAACCAAGUUACCCUAGGGAUAACAGCGCAAUCCACUUCAAGAGCUCCUAUCGACAAGUGGGUUUACGACCUCGAUGUUGGAUCAGGGUGUCCCAGUGGUGCAGCCGCUA